rnacentral:rRNA from 1 species
GACAGAGGGGGCAAGCGUUGCUCGGAAUCACUGGGCGUAAAGGGCGCGUAGGCGGGAUGGCAAGUCGGUCGUGAAAUCCUUCGGCCCAACCGAAGAACGUCGGCCGAUACUGCCAUUCUUGAGGAUUGCAGAGGAGACUGGAAUUCCCGGUGUAGCGGUGAAAUGUGUAGAGAUCGGGAGGAACACCGGUGGCGAAGGCGGGUCUCUGGGCAAUUCCUGACGCUGAGGCGCGAAAGCGUGGGGAGCAAACAGG